rnacentral:rRNA from 1 species
AUUGAACGCUGGCGGCAUGCCUUACACAUGCAAGUCGAACGGCAGCACGGGAGCAAUCCUGGUGGCGAGUGGCGAACGGGUGAGUAAUAUAUCGGAACGUGCCCAGUCGUGGGGAUAACGUAGCGAAAGCUACGCUAAUACCGCAUACGAUCUAUGGAUGAAAGCGGGGGAUCGCAAGACCUCGCGCGAUUGGAGCGGCCGAUAUCAGAUUAGGUAGUUGGUGAGGUAAAGGCUCACCAAGCCGACGAUCUGUAGCUGGUCUGAGAGGACGACCAGCCACACUGGGACUGAGACACGGCCCAGACUCCUACGGGAGGCAGCAGUGGGGAAUUUUGGACAAUGGGCGCAAGCCUGAUCCAGCAAUGCCGUGUGCAGGAUGAAGGCCUGGUGUAACUGCUUUGUACGG